ensembl:lncRNA
UCUCUCUCUGGAGAUUUCUCUUCUUGGAGUCUUUUCAGUGAGCCCAGGACAUGGCAGACGGAGAAGAGAAGAAGCACCUGCCUGCCCUCCCUCUCAAGCCCCCUGGUUUGUCUACUUAAUUUGCUGCAAAAUUGGAGGAAGCUCUAGAAAAAGUGGCUGGUUCAACUCACUGGUGUGGUGUCUAAAUACCUGGCACUUGAUGUCUGCUUGGCUUACACUCGCAAGCUGUCUGCCCUCUUCAGAGAGAGUGAAAGAGACCCUCUCCAGGGUAUUCCUCAGAGCACUGAGCUUGUGUGGUGCUGGCCAGCAACUGUGUCUUCAGGAAGUGACACAUUCUUGGAAGUUUUGAAUGGAUUAAGCAGAAAUGGAUGAGAGGAAUAAAUAUUUUCAAGUUCUACGGUUCACAGAAUUUUGUAUGUACUGAACAAGCUCAGCAGUAAAGAAUGCUUAGAGGGAAGACGUAAUGGGCUAAUUUUUUUCCCCCCAUCUUUUUACAGUCAGUUCUGUGUCAAAAUUUUAUUUUUUCUGAGAUCUGAAAGAAUUGUACUGUUGCUUAACAUGUAGAAAACAGAGAACUGAGUUAAUAUGGAUUUUUCUGUUGCUUGAACAAGGCCUGUUGAUGGCAAGUCUGAAAUAAGCUUGUGAAUGAAGUGAAAUAGAGGACCGAACUUUUUCUACCUCCUGACCAGAAAGGGUAGAACAGUUACCCACCGGAAACUUUGUGUUUCAAAUGGGAAUAAAAGCCAGAGCUAUUGCAGUGAACUUGUCUGUCCUUGUAGAGGUAGUGCACACAGGACAACAACAUCAGAACGUAACAAGAUGACUGAUGGGAUAACUGUGGUUCCCUUUCCUUGGGUAGGAUGAGGCCACCUACCACUACAGAACCUUCAAUACGGGGCCCAAACAUAACUGGCAGAAAUAUAGUGUUUAUAUAUAUAGAAAUUAAUUUUUUAAUCUUCUCAAUAAGUGAAAAAGAUCAGAUAAUCAAACUUGUGAAGUAAAAAAUUGAUGCUCUUUUU